UUCGUGUCUCAUCGCGUUAAACGAUCGCAGAACGAUUUAUUUCUCUUUUUCACCUCGAUCUUUGGCCUCGUGUGAUUUACCAAAACCAACAUGUGAAGUUACAACGCUGACGAAGGAGUUUCAUCAGUAGAGUGUGUCCUGGUAAACGUGUGCUCGGAAACAUGCAGAUUACAGUAUUUACAGAGCCGACCUUGAGUCACCCACUGAUGGAUAAUCUGUUUACCUAAAAACAGCCCACCACAAUCCAUGUUUACCAGCUGUGGAAGUGCAGGCCAAAAAUCUUCCUUCACCUGUGGGCCUCUACCCACAUGUAGAUAAGCACUUCAGGAGAAACCUGCCUGUGAUCUGCUAAGAUGCAAAGAUUCAACUCUGGCCCAUUGUCAUCCCAACACCUCAUCUGCCAUCAGUUUCGUUUAGUGUCGGUCUAUUGCAAAAGUUCUUAUAAACUUUAAAUGAGACUUUGUGUUAAGCAGGGGUUUCCAAACUUUUCAUUCCACAACAUAUUAAGCCCAGGAUACACAGCAGGAUUUUUGCAAUCCAAUAAGACCUUAUCACACUGUGUGACAAGGAUUGUUUAAACUUCAGCAGUAGACUGUCGAUGAAGACACCUAUUGCAUCUGAGGCUGCGACAUCCGUCAUCAGCAUGCGCUAGUGGUAAACAAAUACAGGUAUGCAGGUCGUAGAAACAAACACAUUGUUGAUGUGCGAUGAUCAUGCUGAACUUCUUACACUGUCAUAAAAUUAUCGUAGGUGUCUUUGGUCCAAGGACUGGGAAAACAGACGUCUUUAAACCUCUCACACUGUAUGAGAUAGGACCACCAAUUAAGAGCCACGAUCACAGAAAUCUCCACGAUUGUUUCACGAUUGGUAAUCUUUCAUCUGGGACAGCCAAAAAUCGUGCCGUGUAUUAGGGGCUUUAGACAGGUGUAAUCUUAUAGUAUAUUAAAACCAUUGCUAAUAAUUAAUUGGACAAACCAUCACUACAAUGCAACACUCACUAUCUUACGGUGCGACCCACAAGUGGGUCUUCACCCACAGUUUAAAAACCCUGAGUAUGAGAAAGAGUAUGUUGUAUUGUAAUUAAAGUCACAUCUAAGUGUUAUGGAACAGUUUGUCAUUAUAUUCACAGUAUUACAUGGUUCUUUCAGCAGUUACUACGUUACAGUGCUCUUAAAGUGUCCUGAUCAGCUUUGGGUCUUGUGAAGUAAUCUA